UACGUAGGGGUCUAGCGUUGUCCGGAAUCAUUGGGCGUAAAGAGCUCGUAGGCGGUUCGGCAAGUCGGAUGUGAAAUCUCCACGCUCAACGUGGAGGGGCCAUUCGAAACUGCCGUGACUCGAGUCCGGUAGGGGAGUGCGGAAUUCCCGGUGUAGCGGUGAAAUGCGCAGAUAUCGGGAGGAACACCAAUGGCGAAGGCAGCUCGCUGGGACGUGACUGACGCUGAGACGCGAAAGCGUGGGGAGCAAACAGG
rnacentral:rRNA from 1 species